CUCGUAGGCGGCCGACUAAGUCAGACGUGAAAUCCCUCGGCUUAACCGGGGAACUGCGUCUGAUACUGGACGGCUUGAGUUCGGGAGAGGGAUGCGGAAUUCCAGGUGUAGCGGUGAAAUGCGUAGAUAUCUGGAGGAACACCGGUGGCGAAGGCGGCAUCCUGGACCGACACUGACGCUGAUGAGCGAAAGCCAGGGAGCAAACG
rnacentral:rRNA from 1 species